rnacentral:tRNA from 1 species
GCCAGUGUGGUGUAGUGGUUUGAAUGUUGGACUACGACUCUGGAGACCAGGGUUCAAUUCCCAGAUUGAGCC